GAGGGGACAGGGCAGGCGCCCUUGGUAGGUGGGCGGACGCCCACUCCUGGUGUCCAUCCUGGGUGUGCUUCCUCCACUUGCUUCCUUGCUUUGAUCUCAUGCAGAAUAAUAUUGUGUUGGUGGUGGUUGGACGGUGGAAAGAUGUUAGGUAAGUGGAGACAUAUUGGUGGAUGAAAUUAUGUGAUGGGAUGUAUGUGAGGUGUGGUGUAUGACAUGUGGGACCCAAGGAGUGUGGGUCAUGCUUCUAGA
rnacentral:lncRNA from 1 species